GAGUUUGAUCCUGGCUCAGAUUGAACGCUGGCGGCAUGCCUUACACAUGCAAGUCGAACGGUAACGCGGGGCAACCUGGCGACGAGUGGCGAACGGGUGAGUAACGCAUCGGAACGUGCCCAGUAGUGGGGGAUAGCCCGGCGAAAGCCGGAUUAAUACCGCAUACGACCUAAGGGUGAAAGCGGGGGAUCGCAAGACCUUGCGCUAUUGGAGCGGCCGAUGUCAGAUUAGGUAGUUGGUGGGGUAAAGGCCUACCAAGCCUGCGAUCUGUAGCUGGUCUGAGAGGGCGACCAGCCACACUGGGACUGAGACACGGCCCAGACUCCUACGGGAGGCAGCAGUGGGGAAUUUUGGACAAUGGGGGAAACCCUGAUCCAGCCAUGCCGCGUGCGGGAAGAAGGCCUUCGGGUUGUAAACCGCUUUUGUCAGGGAAGAAAAGGCGCAGUCUAAUACGUUGCGACAAUGACGGUACCUGAAGAAUAAGCACCGGCUAACUACGUGCCAGCAGCCGCGGUAAUCCG
rnacentral:rRNA from 1 species